rnacentral:rRNA from 1 species
GACGAACGCUGGCGGCGUGCUUAACACGUGCAAGUCGAACGAGAUCCAUGGUGUAGCAAUACACCGGAAGAUAUAGUGGCGAACGGGUGAGGAACACGUGAGAAACCUGCCCCAGACUCUGGGAUAACAAGUGGAAACGCUUGCUAAUACCGGAUGACGUCGGAGAACCGCAUGGUUAGCUGACGACAGGAAGUCUGGUUUGGGAGGGUCUCGCGGCCUAUCAGCUUGUUGGUGGGGUAACGGCCUACCAAGGCUACGACGGGUAGCUGGUCUGAGAGGAUGAUCAGCCACACUGGGACUGAGACACGGCCCAGACUCCUACGGGAGGCAGCAGUGGGGAAUCUUGCGCAAUGGGCGAAAGCCUGACGCAGCAACGCCGCGUGCGGGAUGAAGGCUUUCGGGCUGUAAACCGCUUUCAGCAGGAACGAAACUGACGGUACCUGCAGAAGAAGGAGCGGCCAACUACGUGCCAGCAGCCGCAGUAA